UUGUGUAAACAAUUACAUGUUUUUACGAAGUAACGAAUUUUAAUUUUUGGCUAUAAAAAUAUGGACCAUUCGAAACGAAGGUCUAGCCAGUGAUUUAUAUGAAGUUUUGUGUUGGAAAACUCAAUUUUAUUCAAUUGAAUACCUACCAGUGAAGCGACUUACGACAAUUUCCUGGAUUUGUCUCAAGAUCACUCGAAAAGAGUUGAGAAUCUUCAGAAGUUGAUUGAGGCCCAAUUUUACAAAUGAAGUUUGAACCUAAAACGAUUUUCUCAAGUUUUAUGGAUGGCGUUUACUAAGAAACUUUAAACGUCACCAGCGCUCUAAGGUGCUGAAAUACCAUCUCGAGCAGCCGUGCUUCGCUAAUUUUCCGAAUCAUUGUCCCAAUCAUUGUCGCUCUUCGCUACAGGAUAAAUUUCGUGAAGGUUGUCCAAAAUCGGCUGUUGUUCCAGAAAAAAUCGACGAAGUGCUAUAACUGAUACUCCACUCGCAUACGUUCAAUAUUGCAAGAUGAGCCAAAUCCAACAAAAGUUGUUCGCUCACGAAGCACUGGACAUGUCGCUACUGUUCCAUUAGGUCAACGUAGAAAGAUCAAUUCUAAAUGAUACACCAGCAUUUGAUUGUCAGAAGUCAUCAAAAAAAUCAAGGAAACCAAUCGCACGAGACGAAUGAUUCUCCGCCAUGAAAAUGCAAGCUCUCACACAUUAGUUCAAAAAAAAACGUUUUUGAACAGUCAAAACAUUGAAUUGAUGGGUGAUCCGCUGUUUGGCAUCCAAUGAUUUCUUCUUAUUCCGGUAGAUCAAAAAUAGAAUAUUCCUGAAGAAGUGGUUGAUGCGUUCAAGUCACAUAUUUUGGAGGUACCUCAAUAGGAAUGGAAAAAAAUGCUUCGACAAUUGAUUCCAAUGCAUGCGAAACUGUAUUGAUCUCAGAAGAGAAUAUUUUUAAAAACAAUAA